rnacentral:rRNA from 1 species
AACGUAGGGGGCGAGCGUUAUCCGGAUUUAUUGGGCGUAAAGCGCAUGCAGGUGGUUUCGUAAGUCGGAUGUGAAAGCCUCUGGCUUAACUGGAGGAGGUCGUUCGAUACUGCGAGACUUGAGGUCGGGAGAGGGAAGCGGAAUUCCCGGUGUAGUGGUGGAAUGCGUAGAUAUCGGGAGGAACACCAGUGGCGAAGGCGGCUUCCUGGCCGGAUACUGACGCUCAAGUGCGAAAGCUGGGGGAGCGAACGGG